UGGGGAAUAUUGGACAAUGGGGGAAACCCUGAUCCAGCCAUGCCGCGUGUGUGAAGAAGGCCUUUUGGUUGUAAAGCACUUUAAGCAGUGAAGAAGACUCUUCGGUUAAUACCCGGAGACGAUGACAUUAGCUGCAGAAUAAGCACCGGCUAACUCUGUGCCAGCAGCCGCGGUAAUACAGAGGGUGCAAGCGUUAAUCGGAAUUACUGGGCGUAAAGCGAGCGUAGGUGGCUUGAUAAGUCAGAUGUGAAAUCCCCGGGCUUAACCUGGGAACUGCAUCUGAUACUGUCAGGCUAGAGUAGGUGAGAGGAAGGUAGAAUUCCAGGUGCAGCGGUGAAACGCGUAGAGAUCUGGAGGAAUACCGAUGGCGAAGGCAGCCUUCUGGCAUCAUACUGACACUGAGGCUCGAAAGCGUGGGUAGCAAACA
rnacentral:rRNA from 1 species